UAUUGCGCAAUGGGGGCAACCCUGACGCAGCAACGCCGCGUGAGUGAGGAAGGUUUUCGGACCGUAAAGCUCUGUCGAGCGGGAAGAAAUGCAUGGUGGCUAAUAUCCAUCAUGCUUGACGGUACCGCUAAAGGAAGCACCGGCUAACUCCGUGCCAGCAGCCGCGGUAAUACGGGGGGUGCGAGCGUUGUUCGGAAUUAUUGGGCGUAAAGAGCGUGUAGGCGGCCGAAUAAGUCAGAUGUGAAAUCCCUGGGAUUAACACAGGACGUGCAUUUGAAACUAUUCGGCUAGAGUAGGGGAGAGGAAAGUGGAAUUCCUGGUGUAGAGGUGAAAUUCGUAGAUAUCAGGAGGAACACCGGUGGCGAAGGCGACUUUCUGGCCCUAUACUGACGCUGAGACGCGAGAGCGUGGGUAGCAAACAG
rnacentral:rRNA from 1 species